rnacentral:rRNA from 1 species
GAUGAACGCUGGCGGCGUGCCUAAUACAUGCAAGUCGAGCGAACAGACGAGGAGCUUGCUCCUCUGACGUUAGCGGCGGACGGGUGAGUAACACGUGGAUAACCUACCUAUAAGACUGGGAUAACUUCGGGAAACCGGAGCUAAUACCGGAUAAUAUAUUGAACCGCAUGGUUCAAUAGUGAAAGACGGUUUUGCUGUCACUUAUAGAUGGAUCCGCGCCGCAUUAGCUAGUUGGUAAGGUAACGGCUUACCAAGGCGACGAUGCGUAGCCGACCUGAGAGGGUGAUCGGCCACACUGGAACUGAGACACGGUCCAGACUCCUACGGGAGGCAGCAGUAGGGAAUCUUCCGCAAUGGGCGAAAGCCUGACGGAGCAACGCCGCGUGAGUGAUGAAGGUCUUCGGAUCGUAAAGCUCUGUUAUUAGGGAAGAAAAAAUGUGUAAGAAACUAUGCACGUCUUGACGGUACCUAAUCAGAAAGCCACGGCUAACUACGUG